UCUGGGAUGAACAUAACAUCAUACGUGAUCAGAGACAAAGAAGAAGAUGACUUCUAUAACAAGCCAAGAGACUCAGGUCACACUUUUUUCUGCUUUUACAUCCUCUACUUUUUUCAUUUUUACCUCCAGUGCUUUUGCCUUACCAGAAACUCUAAAUUCUUAGAAAGCAAACAGAGGAGCUAUGUAGAUAGUUGUUAGCCUUAAAACAUAUUGAAUCUUGCUUUUUUUAGAUAAAUAUGAUAGUGGUAGGUUAACCCUCAUAAGGGCUCUGUUUGAUGAUGGUUGACAAAGAAGUAGAAAAUACUUAACAUGACUCUUUAUGCUAGAUACUAAUAAAAUGGUUGAGAAUAUAUUUGUCUGUAUACUGGAAAGAAAAUUCAGCUGUUCAUUCUCCAAGUGAGUUCUCAUUCAAUAUGCUAUCUAUUAAUUCUCAAUCAAUUCUUAUUUUAUUCGUUAAGUAAUAGACUAAUCUAUAACAUCCUAGAAGGAGCAGUUGCUGCUGGAUAGGUUCACUGGGAAAACCUACUAGCGUAGGUCUCACGACGUAGACAAAGGAAGGUUAAUCCUCGUAAGGGCUCUAUUUGAUGAUGGUCCACAAAGAAGUAGAAAAUACUUAGUAGUCUUGAUUGAAUUUGGAUACUAAAGUGUUAUAGGUCAUCCUCUCCAUUCUUGGGAGGAUUUAGGGAACCUUGUAAACAUUUUAUUAAAGUUUUAAAUAAUAUGUAUACAGGUUGCCACCAUCUCGGUACCUGUUAAUAUAAUUUUACUUUUAUUUCAAAAAAAAAAAAAAAGAAUCCUGGAGUUACAAUAGGAGUCUAACUAUGAUUAGCUCCCGUAUACAUAAAGUUAUUAUCAUUAUCAAUAAAAUCAUUCAUCAUGAAGUAAAGUGAAUCAGGGUUUAUAUUCUAGCACCAUUGACAGUUCUCUUCAGCAAGCCUCGUUGUACGUAAAAUUAGAUUAUAAUUUUCAAAAGAGGCCUCAGAGGUGACAUGAUAGUUGCUUAAGCUUUGAUUUGUUAUAUCGGAUGGUUGGAUAAGCAAUUAUCCCAAACAUUUAACCUGGUUGAUAAAGCAAAAAACUGUAGAGCAACCUUUUUAUAAGGAAAUUCAAGUAACUUAAUUAUAUAAUGUCAUCAGAGCUUUUUUGUUUACUGAUAGAUUCUUUUAGCAGUUAAAAACAUUCAAGUAGCACGUAUACAAGUCUUGACAAUAAUUAUAGCACUAAGUUUAGAAUUUUUACUUAAUCAACUAAGUUAGGCUUUUGAGAUAAUUUCUUAUCAAAUCUAUAUUUGUAUGUAUUUUGAUGUUAAACGAGUUGAAAUCAUUGAUUUAGACUACGGAGACCUUAAUCUUAACCGUUCUUUCUUUCAUGAUUUUUUUAUGGAUAAACCAGGAUUCAUCGUUAAAUUAUCGGGCGAAAUCCUCAGUAUUUGCUCAAAUAUAGACUCAAGCCUAGACCAUGCAUAAUUACAUAUAAAAUCUAGAGUUGCAUUGGAGGGGUAAUUGAAAAUCGGAUAAUUAUAUGUGCAUAAUUACAGUAAUUUUUUUGGGGUUGUUUCCUAAUCUUUUUUUUUUUUUUUGUUGUUGCAUAACAUGCAGAUUAUAGUUGAAUGUAUAUAUCAGCAGAGGCGAUUUGAUGUUGAGGUGGAGAGAAUGAUGAUUAGGUUGGAUUGAUGUUGCACCAAUUUUGGUGGAACAGGACCACUUUGGACUUUUUAGGGUUAAUCAGAAGGGAAAGGUUUGGUAAAAAUUAUUCCCUCUUACUUCCUUUUUCUCAGCUACCUUUCCUCAUGGACUUGGAAGAAUGUAAUUGUUACGGGGUUUCAACUAAGCUUCCUUUCAGCUUAUGCUCUGUUUGUUCAUUUCCCCCCCCCUGUAAAUAGAUAUCUUUUGCCUUGUGUUGUUUUGUUAAAUCUAUAUAUAAGUAAAAUUGGCAAAGAGUAUGUCAAUUAACAUUUUCGUAUGAAUAAUAAAAAUUUAAAACUACAGGAAAUGAGUUAUUAGAA
rnacentral:lncRNA from 1 species